rnacentral:rRNA from 1 species
AUGCUUUUCAUCGUUGUCUGGAUGGAGGUGCAAACUAACUUCGAUGAUAUCAUUUUUGAAGACUGUGGUUCUCAUUAUGAUAGGCUUCUUGAGGAGGAUGGAAAUAGUGAUGCCGUGUGCAAUCUGGAUGUCCUAAAGAGUCAAUUCAAUGUGACAGCAAUAUCUCUUAAAAGAUGUAUUAAGAAUUUGUGGAUUCACCUCCCUGGUAGGUGCUUUUCACAUGAUAGUAUCAGCAAUAUAUCCUCAUUGUUUAACAUGCUAGAGAAAUUCGAUGCCCUCCUGUGUGAUAUUGAUUUAACUAGCAAGAGCUUAAAAAGGGGCUUUGGUGGUCUCUCAAGUGAAAACUCAGCUUGUGUGUAG